UCUUUCAGGUGCAGAUGCAUUCUAUGUGUGGCAGAGGGUCAGGGUUAGGAGGUGCCGGGCCUUCUUAGGAGCGCGCUGUCUGAGAGACCCCAGCCCGGUGCCAGCAGGACCUUCCCAGGUGACGAGGUGGCCUUUCUUUGCACCAGAGACCAGCAUCCCCAGAUGUCUGAGAGAUAAGUAGAGGGCUGGGACCCACAGAGGGGAUGAAGGCAUGGUGCUUGUUUGGGAAUUACUGGGAGGGGUUUUUGAGUCCAGUUUGGAGCGGGGGGUGUUCAUUAAACGGCUCGUUAGGCCCCAUGAAAGCCAAGUCUCACUUUUGAUCACAGUGCUGACGUGUGCAGGGCAGAGCAGUCCCGGUGUGUCUCGUGUCACUUGUCUAUUGUGCCUUGUGUGUUGUUUGUGUAUCUCAUCUCCUGUCUUUUGCCUUAGGGGGGCCUGUCAGAAUCCUUGGCAUCCUUGUUAGCAUCUGUGAUCUCUGCAUUCCUUGGCCUGGCACCCGAGCCACAGAACUUUUGACUUGGGAGCUCAGACAGGCAUCAGACUCUCUUCUCUCUUUUGAAGCAUCCUAUCUGAUGUCUUGUCAGGUCUUGUUCUGGGCUGUAUGGACAGCUAUGCCCACCUGGAUCCAUUCAGGUGGAUUAGGACUUGGUGUAAUAUGAGGUUAGGUAGAGGAUUCUGACCGUAGGAUUCCUAGGCAUCCAUCUUUGCAGUUUUUGGAAGAAAUCAUUCAGUUAUCAUCUUUUUCCUUCGGGGUUCUCUGAGCCUCAUCAGCUCACUAUCAGUUUGAACUCAGUCAUCUCCUUUUGCAUUCUCUCAGUCCUUGCAGCCAUUUUCCUGGCCUAGAAUUUUCUGUCUGUGUUGUGUCCCCAUUGUCUGUCCUGUCCUGUCUGUCCUGUGUCACUGGUGUCUGCACACAUUUGUGCCCGAGCUGCUCUGCCCUGUCGCAUAGCCUGGUGCAAUAGGAGAGGGCCCGGGGAUUUGGAAUGUGUAAUGUGGGGUGUAGUUGGACUCUAGAUGGGAAUUGUAGAUGGACACAGGAUAUAUGGAGCUCUUCAGUUAUCAUUGAACUGUCUGACUCUUGUCCUAACUUUUUUUUCAGAUGCACCUCCUCAGAUGACUGCAGUAGUUCUGUAGAUUCCUUCUUCUGAAAGGGAAUAGGGCUCAAGAAUUCAUCUUCCAGAGAAUUUUUGAAAGUCCUGGCUUGUAUUGUAUCUGCCUAUUUUGGCUUAUGUUCUAUGUACCUAUACAUCUGUCUUCUAUUGGAUUUUGGGUAGAAAAUUUAUCAGUCCAGAGUGGGGACAAGUCCUAGCUGUCAGAUAGCCACUCGUUGACCCUUCCUGUCGUCUCACAGGUCCCCGAGGCUGCUGAUUUCCCCAGGAUCUGCCAUUUUACCUCACGGAGCGGCAGCCAGAAGAUGUGUCACAUCACGUUCUUCAGCAUCUCGAGUUUUGCGACUCCUUGUUAAAUUCAGAAUAAAAAAUCCCCAGCCGGGUUGUAUUGCAUGAACUGACAUGGUAUGUACCGAUGUUGGCUUAAAACCCAGAAAACCAGACGAAGAUGAGCAGGAAAAAACCAGAAAAAAACCCUAUGAUGGACAAGAAAAAAACCCAGAAAAAGCCCAGGAUGGGCAAGAAAGAAAUGAGAAAAAAACCCCAGAAAAUAAUCCCAGAUGGGCAAGAAAAAAACCUAGAAAAAACCCCAGAAAAUCACCCAAGAUGGGCAAGAAAAAAACUCAGAAAAAACCACAAGAAAAAAACUCUGAGAUGGGCAAGAAAAAAACCAGAAAAAAGUCUGAAGAUGGGCAAGAAAAAACCUGGAAAAAACCCCCAAGAUGGACAAGAAAUAACCCAGAAAAAAAUUCGAAGAAGGGAAGAAAAGACCCAGAAAACACCCAGAAAAAAAUCGCAACUCAAGUAUAAAUAUAGAAAUGUUUGUCAAGUAUAUGCAGAUAUAUAAAGAAAUGUUAAAUUAUUUGAAAUAUAAAAUAACAGAAAUAUAACAUAUAUACAGUAUUACUUGUA